GUCUAUGGCCAUACCACCCUGAAUGCGCCUGAUCUCGUCUAGAACUCAAGCGAAGAACAGGUUUCAGGGAGGAUAAAGUGACCUACAGAAUGAGAUUCCACCUUCGUAGCUU
rnacentral:rRNA from 1 species